CUGUCUUACUUGUUUUUGACCAUUAAGGUUGCAAGAUUGGCUAAUUUCCCAGAAGACUUGGUCUUAAAAAUGGUGAAGGAGAAGAAGAUUCCUAAUUUCCUAUCUCCUCACCAAUAAUCUUAAUUAUUUUACCUACUGGAAAGACAUCAUUGGCUUUAGUAACUGAUUUGUUUACAAUUGGGAACUUCUGGUGCUAUAUGAGUAUAAGUUGUCUUAAUUAUAUUUCUUCAUUUGUGUAUUCCUAUAGUACAUGACUUGACAAAUUACUUUCCCAAACUUUACUAAAUAACCUUUUUGGCUACAAACCGAAACAGUAUUUGACAUUAAAUUGCAAUGCAAGUAUUCUUUCAGUCUUGUGAAUGUGAUGCAGAGCAUCUCCUAUGUAUAUCAUCAUUAAUUUCUGCUCAUGAAAUGCAGCGUCAAAUAAUAACCUGUACUCUGUCAUUUAUUG
rnacentral:lncRNA from 1 species